UGAGCAGGUUUCUGCUCCUCUCUGUCACUGCUCUCGAGCCCUGAAAAGUGACCUCACAGCGGCAGUGGGAGAAAACCUGGGCAGCCCACAAACUGAAAAGCAGCCCCUCAGUGUUGUCAGGGGGAGAGGACUGGC